UGAGCGGUGGGACGCAGCGCUCCACCAAUCCUUGUUGCUCUCUCUGAUUGCCUGCUGACAGGCCCAUUUUCAUGCUGCAUGAUGGCCACUGCUUUCUAAAGGCUUCAGCAGGGCCAGGCUGAGAGCAACCUGAUGUGGCGCUUCUCAAGGAAGUCGUAAUAGAAUUUCAUGUGGAAGGUCAGUCCAUCGAUGUGGAGCACUCCAAUGUCCUUGAAGACAACGGCAACGUUCUCCCCAUUCUUCAGGCAGCCAGAGAGCAGGGACAACGGUGCUUUGGAUGCAAGCCUGCGCUGUCUGCCAGGUCACAGAGGCAGCUGCGGCCACCUCGCUGCUCUUGAGCGGCUCCAGCUUCCUAUGGGCUGAAAAAUGGGAGGGACGGAGUUGAUGAUACGGGACUCCCUGCGGGGCUUGAGGUGGUGCACGGCUAUGAGGUUUCCAGACAAGUGAAAGACGGGCCACCGCAGAGUCACGGUCCCGUCCUCAGUCCUGAUGUCUCUGGAGAUGGUGUCAAAGGAUCCGAAG